rnacentral:lncRNA from 1 species
CAGCAGUUUUCUAGCACUCCACCUGUGAUGACGCUGGGAACUACCUUCAUGCUUCAGUUUUAAGGCAUGACUGACGAGAUGGGAUGUUUUUCACUUUCUUCUGUGACGUGUUCUGCUGGGCUGCUGUACUUCAGCAAAGAGCUACAAGAGGGCCUUAGAGCACAACUGUGGCCAUUCUAGAAGCAAAACCUAAAGUCCUCCCUCUCCAAUCAACAGCACUUGUAGGAGUAGACCCAGGCUUCUGACAAGAGGUACAAUCAGUCCAUCCUUGAGCAAUCCUAACAGUUCAAUACUUAGAAAACAAUGCCAGUCAUUGGUGCU